rnacentral:rRNA from 1 species
CCUACGGGAGGCAGCAGUAAGGAAUAUUGGACAAUGCUCGCAAGAGUGAUCCAGCCAUGCCGCGUGCAGGAAGAAUGCCCUAUGGGUAGUAAACUGCUUUUGAACUAGAGAAAACCCCAGUACGUGUACUGGGCUGAUAGUAUAGUUAGAAUAAGCAUCGGCUAACUUCGUGCCAGCAGCCGCGGUAAGACGAAGGAUGCAAGCGUUAUCCGGGAUUCAUUGGGUUUAAAGGGAGCGUAGGUGGACUGAUAAGUCAGUGGUGAAAUCUCCGAGCUUAACUCGGAAAUUGCCAUUGAUACUGUUGGUCUUGAGUACAGUUGCUGUGGGCGGAAUAUGACAUGUAGUGGUGAAAUACAUAGAGAUGUCAUAGAACACCGAUUGCGAAGGCAGCUCACAAAGCUGUAACUGACACUGAGGCUCGAAAGUGCGGGGGAUCAAACAGGAUUAGAUACCCUGGUAGUCCGCACCGUAAACGAUGAUUACUCGCUGCUAGGGGGCAACCUUUAGUGGCUUAGCGAAAGCGAUAAGUAAUCCACCUGGGAGUACGCCGGCAACGGUGAAACGUUAAAUAGAAUUGACGGNGNGAGAGNGCGAGGCGACGACGAGGGAGAGG